rnacentral:lncRNA from 1 species
UCAUUUCAUUAAUCAUAAAAAUAAUCACAAAAGCCCACAUCGGACCAAUACAAGAGUUGAUAAAAAGAAAAAGAUACAAAGAUAACUCAGGCAUUAGCCUGAGGACCGUCUGUCGGAGGAGCUAAGGUCAGAUCCUUGGUAGCCGUUGGAGACUCCACAGAAAUGACUUCGAUGGCUAGGACCUUAGUUGUGCUAGUUAGAACUU